rnacentral:lncRNA from 1 species
ACUCCGUCUUAAAAAAAAAAAAAUUAUGCUAAAUGAAAGAAGUCAGUCACGAAAAACCACAUAGUGUAUGUUUCCAUUUAUAGGAAACAUCCAGAAUAGGCAAAUCUAUAGACAGAAAAUAGAUUAGUGGUUGCCUAGGGCUAGGGGAAAAGAGGGUGACAACUAAAGAAUAGAGGAUUUGCAGGGACAGGUGAAAACAUUCCAAAAUUGAUAAUCGUGUUGAUCGCACAACUCUGUGAAUAUACCAAAAAAAAAAUGAAUUUUAUAAAUAGUUAAAUUGUAUCAAUAAAGCUACUACCCCCAAAAAGUAGAGAAAUGUGAUGUCUCUUGUCCACCUGAGGUGUACUGAGAUUCAUAACCAUUUUAUGUGUAAAAUGUUUCACAAAGUUAUUUGAUAAGGUUGUGUCAAGCUGAGGUGGUAACUUCUAAACACACACAUAUAUCAGCUCAGGACCUAGCAAACAGGUCCGAAACACAAGCAAUGGGGAAGGAUGCAGGAGGGAGCAGACACAAGCUCCAGGGAAUGUGGGUAGCAAGUGGUCUGCACCAAGGAACCACAUAAAACUCCAGAGCACUGUUUUGGAGAAGCAAUAUUCAGAGAUGCGGGAAGGGAGCCAGCAUCAAGGAGGUUCUCAGCAGACUGCAAGGCUCCACCUCAGGAGAGGAGUUCAGGGGCAGGAGCCCUGCCCAAGUGCACGAUUGCAAUGAGGCCUGCAGCCUCAGAGACCGGGCAAGUGAUCCAAGAAGGACCCGAGGCAACCAUGCAGGGACCUAAAAAGCAUUAAUGAUAUAAGCAUGCAUUUUGUCACUCAUGUAUACAUAUAUACGUAAGGUAAGUUCUAUAAAAAUAAAAAUAAUAAAUAUUUGCCAUACGCUGUUAUAUGUAUUUAUAUUUUUUAAUGUAUCUUCACAACAACCCUCUGAAAUAGCUACUCUUACUCCUCUCCAUUUUACAGAUGAGAAAUUCGAGUCACAGAAAGGCAAAGUAGCUUGCCCAAGUCAUUAGUAACACAGAGCUAAGGUUAAAACACGGGCAGCAUGGUCCCAGGGUCCAUCUUAACUCUACCAUGCUGCAUUCAGAGUAAAGGCUCACUUACUACAUCUGAGCCAUCAGGACUGGGAGGAACCAUGGUUGAUGCUGAAUCCCCCUCAGCAUAAACAAGAGGUCUUUAAAGCUUCCCCUGUGUAGGAAGGACAGAUCCUGGAGCCUGAGCUGGGGCUGAGCAUGCAGGUGGUACUUAAAUGAUGGCCACGUAGAAGCAGAAUAUGGAACCAGGCAACUACUGCCACACAUCUUACAUAUUUUCAUUUUUACCACAGCGCUAUAAGGUAGUAUCUUAGUCUGUUCAGGUUAUGAUAACAAAAUACCAAGGCUAGGUGACUUAUGAAUAACAGAAACUUAUUACUGACAGUGCUGCAGGCUGGGAGUCCGAGAUCAAGGUGCUGGCAGAGGCAGUGUCUGAUAAAGGCCCACUUCCUCAUAGACAGCUAUCUUCUCACUCUAACUUCACAUGACAGAAAGAUUAAAGGGUAUCUCUCAGGCCUUUUCUUUACAAAGGCACUAUUCCCAUUCAUGAGAGCUCCACAUUCAUGACCUAAUCAUCUCCUAAAGGCCUCACCCCCAAUACGGUCACCUUGGAAGUGAAGAUUUCAACAUGUGAAUCUGGGGAGGACAUAAAUAUUCAGACCAUAGCAGAAGGAGCUGACAUGAAGCCUGGAAUUGCCAUAGCCCUUUUGCCACCAUCAAGAAAUGAACCAAUGUGAACCUGAGAGACCCAGCCUUUCAGAUGAAUCCUGAGUGGCUAACUGGUCCUAAAUUUAAAAUGGAGCCAAGAUGCUAUUUGCUGACUAAAGGUCACACAAGUCCUCUGAGUUCGCUGAAAACCCAUACCUUUUUAACUUGGGGACUUUCAGCUCUGACCUGAACCAACAGAGCUCACCUGCCCCGCCAAUCAGGGCUCAGCUGUAUCAACCAAUCAGAACUCAGCAGUGUUGACUAAUCAGAACCAUGCAAGUUUGAAUCCUUUAUUUGCAUAAACAGACCUGACUGGGAUCCCAGACAAGAAAUUUUGCUAUAAAAUCUGAACGCUCUCUUUGUUCACUGAAAUGCACGCAGACGGCUAUGAUCUCCUCAGUUUGCAAACUGUUUACAAGGAUGAAGCCUUUUCUCCAAAUUCCUUCUCAGAGAACUUUUGUUCAUAAGGGCAACCAGCGCCAGAGUGAAGUUGACUUCAUGAAAGAGCAAAGGGACAGGAGAAAUCAAUUUUUGAUGAUAUCACUGAAUACCAAAUCAAAAACCCUAAAAUUUUCCGUCCUUUUAAAAUUUCCUCUUAUAUGGGAGCCAAGUAAAACCACUUAUUAAUUUACCUAGUCUGAGUUGAGUAUUCUAUUACUCACAACAUAAAAAGACUUAACUCUAUUGAUUAGGGUAAAGCUAUUCUGCCAUAAGAAGGAAACUCAACAAUGAUGGAAUGGUUUAAAAAUCUAAGUUCAUUUCUCUCUCAUCUAACAGUGGGCAGGUGUUCCAGGUGGACAGGCAGCUCUGCUUCAUAUCUGCAUUUAGAGAACCAGGUUCCUCCCAGAUCAUUACUCUGAAACCCCUAUGAUCUUGCUCUUGUCUCCACAGUCAAGGUUGGGUUGUUCUGAGUUCCACCUUGUAGGAAGGGGAAAGAACAUGGAGGAGUCUUAUGUCCCAGAGCUGAAUAUGACACACACU